rnacentral:tRNA from 1 species
AAUGAGAUGCCUGACAAAAAGGGUUAUUUUGAUAGAAUAAAUUAUGUAAAUUUUUACUCUCAUUA